rnacentral:rRNA from 1 species
UGGGGAAUUUUGGACAAUGGACGAAAGCCUGAUCCAGCAAUGCCGCGUGUGUGAAGAAGGCCUUCGGGUUGUAAAGCACUUUUGUCCGGAAAGAAAUCCUUGGCUCUAAUACAGUCGGGGGAUGACGGUACCGGAAGAAUAAGCACCGGCUAACUACGUGCCAGCAGCCGCGGUAAUACGUAGGGUGCAAGCGUUAAUCGGAAUUACUGGGCGUAAAGCGUGCGCAGGCGGUUUGCUAAGACCGAUGUGAAAUCCCCGGGCUCAACCUGGGAACUGCAUUGGUGACUGGCAGGCUAGAGUAUGGCAGAGGGGGGUAGAAUUCCACGUGUAGCAGUGAAAUGCGUAGAGAUGUGGAGGAAUACCGAUGGCGAAGGCAGCCCCCUGGGCCAAUACUGACGCUCAUGCACGAAAGCGUGGGGAGCAAACAGGAUUAGAUACCCUGGUAGUCCACGCCCUAAACGAUGUCAACUAGUUGUUGGGGACUUCAUUUCCUUAGUAACGUAGCUAACGCGUGAAGUUGACCGCCUGGGGAGUACGGUCGCAAGAUUAAAACUUAAAUGAAUUGACGGGGUCAUAGCUGUUUCCU